UGGCCUACACAGAGCCCUGACCUCAACCUCAUCGAACACCUUAUGGAUGUAGCCGACUGCGAGCCAGGCCUAAUCGCCCAACCUCACUAAUCCUCCUGGCUGAAUGGAAGCAAGUUCCUGCAGCAAUGUUCCAACAUCUAGUGGAAAGCCUUCCCAGAAGAGUGGAGGCUGUUAUAGCAGCAAAGGGGGGACCAUCUCCAUAUUAAUACCCAUGAUAUUGGAAAGAGAUGUUUGGCGAGCAGGUGUCCACAUACUUUUGGUCAUGUAGUGUACUAUGAUUUGGUUAUGGCUAUUUGUGUAAAAGUCCUGACACAAUGUGCUAUCUAGUUGUAUAUAGUCUGGCUUAGUCAGUCAUACGCAGUAUCCUCAUAUUCUCUCUACGUCCUGGGGUAUACUACAAAGUAGCAACAAUGACUCUUGCCUAACUAUUGUGAAAAACGGUAUUUAUUUGGAAGAUGAGCUUGAAAUGGGCAUGGUCUAAUUGAAUCAAAAACACAAGUUAAGCUUUCUUCAUAAACAAGAAAAUCAAUUGUUAUUUUUGGUUGUUUAAAUGACAUUAAAAGUUCUAAAUUACAAGGUUCUAAAUGGCAUUAAAGUUGAAAAUGAAGUGCCUUAGCAUUUUGACCUGUUAAAGGUUCCAUUCACACUAUUAUACAAAUGCAAUUGCUGUGAUAGGUGUGUUGUCAUUCAAAUGUUCAGUGUGUGAGGUGGUUCUGUUAGAUGUACAUUUACAUUUUUUACAUUUUAGUCAUUUAGCAGACGCUCUUAUCCAGAGCGACUUACAGUAGUGAAUGCAUACAUUUCAUACAAUUUCAUACAUUUUUUUUUCUGUGCUGGCCCCCCGUGUACUCGUGACGUCACCAUAAGACAUGUUUCUACACCUGCAGUAUCAUUUGUAAUACUCACUAUGACGUUACCAGACACUUGUCUGUUUUAUCAGAGAUCACUUUGGUCACACAAUAAUGUUUAGCACAGAUUGCAUCCUAUAUGGCACCCUAGUCCCUAUAUAGUGUACUACUUUUGUAGUUCGCGUGCACUAUAUAGGGAAUAAAUAGGAUGCAGUCUACAAGUAAAUACUUUUCAGCAAGACAGUAACUGUUGACAUAUUUUGUAUCCAGUCAUUUUGAGUCAUUCCUAUGAAUCUCCCAAUUUUAAAAUAAAUGUUUCUGUAUCAAACAGAA